rnacentral:rRNA from 1 species
UACGUAGGGUCCGAGCGUUGUCCGGAGUUACUGGGCGUAAAGCGCGCGCAGGUGGUUCCCUAAGCCCGGCGUGAAAGCCCCCGGCUCAACCGGGGAGGGUCGUCGGGGACUGGAGAACUUGAGGGCGGCAGGGGCUGGUGGAAUCCCCGGUGUAGUGGUGAAAUGCGUAGAGAUCGGGGGGAACACCCGUGGCGAAGGCGGCCAGCUGGGCCGACCCUGACACUGAGGCGCGAAGGCGUGGGGAGCGAACGGGAUUAGAUACCCUUUAGUCC